UACGGAGGGUGCAAGCGUUAUCCGGAUUCACUGGGUUUAAAGGGUGCGUAGGUGGCUUGGUAAGUCAGUGGUGAAAGCCCGGAGCUCAACUCCGGAACUGCCAUUGAUACUGCUUAGCUUGAAUCAGGUCGAGGUGGAUGGAAUAAUACAUGUAGCGGUGAAAUGCUUAGAUAUGUAUUAGAACACCGAUUGCGAAGGCAGUUCACUAGGCCUGUAUUGACACUGAGGCACGAAAGCGUGGGGAUCAAACAGG
rnacentral:rRNA from 1 species